rnacentral:rRNA from 1 species
UACGAAGGGUGCUAGCGUUGUUCGGAAUUACUGGGCGUAAAGCGCACGUAGGCGGCGCUGUAAGCCAGGGGUGAAAGCCCGGAGCUCAACUCCGGAAUUGCCUUUGGAACUGCAGUGCUAGAGUAUCGGAGGGGAGUGUGGAAUUCCUAAUGUAGGGGUGAAAUCCGUAGAUAUUAGGAGGAACACCGGUGGCGAAGGCGACACUCUGGACGAUAACUGACGCUGAGGUGCGAAAGCGUGGGGAGCAAACAGU